AGCGGCGGAUGGGUGAGUAACACGUGGGGAACCUGCCCCUAAGUCUGGGAUACCAUUUGGAAACAGGUGCUAAUACCGGAUAAUAAAGCAGAUCGCAUGAUCAGCUUUUGAAAGGCGGCGUAAGCUGUCGCUAAGGGAUGGCCCCGCGGUGCAUUAGCUAGUUGGUAAGGUAACGGCUUACCAAGGCGACGAUGCAUAGCCGAGUUGAGAGACUGAUCGGCCACAUUGGGACUGAGACACGGCCCAAACUCCUACGGGAGGCAGCAGUAGGGAAUCUUCCACAAUGGACGCAAGUCUGAUGGAGCAACGCCGCGUGAGUGAAGAAGGUUUUCGGAUCGUAAAGCUCUGUUGUUGGUGAAGAAGGAUAGAGGUAGUAACUGGCCUUUAUUUGACGGUAAUCAACCAGAAAGUCACGGCUAACUACGUGCCAGCAGCCGCGGUAAUACGUAGGUGGCAAGCGUUGUCCGGAUUUAUUGGGCGUAAAGCGAGCGCAGGCGGAAAAAUAAGUCUAAUGUGAAAGCCCUCGGCUUAACCGAGGAACUGCGUCGGAAACUGUUUUUCUUGAGUGCAGAAGAGGAGAGUGGAACUCCAUGUGUAGCGGUGGAAUGCGUAGAUAUAUGGAAGAACACCAGUGGCGAAGGCGGCUCUCUGGUCUGCAACUGACGCUGAGGCUCGAAAGCAUGGGUAGCGAACGGGAUUAGAUACCCUGGUAGUCCAUGCCGUAAACGAUGAGUGCUAAGUGU
rnacentral:rRNA from 1 species